rnacentral:rRNA from 1 species
GAUGAACGCUGGCGGCGUGCCUAAUACAUGCAAGUCGAGCGAACGGACGAGGAGCUUGCUUCUCUGAUGUUAGCGGCGGACGGGUGAGUAGCACGUGGAUAACCUACCUAUAAGACUGGGAUAACUUCGGGAAACCGGAGCUAAUACCGGAUAAUAUUUUGAACCGCAUGGUUCAAAAGUGAAAGACGGUCUUGCUGUCACUUAUAGAUGGAUCCGCGCUGCAUUAGCUAGUUGGUAAGGUAACGGCUUACCAAGGCAACGAUGCAUAGCCGACCUGAGAGGGUGAUCGGCCACACUGGAACUGAGACACGGUCCAGACUCCUACGGGAGGCAGCAGUAGGGAAUCUUCCGCAAUGGGCGAAAGCCUGACGGAGCAACGCCGCGUGAGUGAUGAAGGUCUUCGGAUCGUAAAACUCUGUUAUUAGGGAAGAACAUAUGUGUAAGUAACUGUGCACAUCUUGACGGUACCUAAUCAGAAAGCCACGGCUAACUACGUG